rnacentral:rRNA from 1 species
CCCUUAGAUGUUCUGGGCCGCACGCGCGCUACACUGAAUGGAUCAACGUGUUUUCCCUUCCCGAGAGGGACGGGUAACCCGCUGAACCCCAUUCGUGGUAGGGAUCGGAGCUUGCAAUUGUUCUCCGUGAACCAGGAAUUCCCAGUAAGCGCAAGUCAUCAGCUUGCGUUGAUUACGUCCCUGCCCUUUGUACACACCGCCCGUCGCUCCUACCGAUUGAAUGGUCCGGUGAAGCGUUCGGACCGUGGCCUUUGGACGGUUCGCCGUCUGUUGGCUGCGGGAAGUUCGUUAAACCUUAUCAUUUAGAGGAAGGAGAANUCGUAACA